GCUUACAUGCCCCCGAGUGUAGGCGAGCUGCGGGGUUGGGCUAGCAGCUGUGUGACUUCUCCAACCGAGCCUCUCGGGGAGGGGAGGUGGGCUUCUCCUCUUAGCAUGCGAAGAGAGUGGAAAGGGCCCCGGUUGGUCGGCCUGGGAAGGAGGGACUAUUUUUCUCUCCCCGUGUCCUCUUCGAAGCAGCUGCAGGGGACGGGAACGCCAAGGUUGAACAAGGUUUUUCGCCUCGCUGCUGUGGGGUGGAGUUAUUUUUGCCCCCCUCCUCAAAGUUGACCCCGGACAGGAUCAUUUCAGACACCACCACCACCCUUUUGCAAAAGGGCCGAGGAGUUUUGUAGAUGGGGCCCUUUUUGAGUCCCCCCCCCCCCCAGUUUGUGGAAGGACGGUUGUGUUGGGGCAGGGAACAUAGUGUAUAAUUGCUUCUCCACGCAGAGGCCUGGGGAGGCGGAGGAGGGGCCCGUCUGCUUGCAAGAGCUGCUCGUCUGUUAGCGAGAGGUGGUCCGUAAAAUCAAGGUGACGUGACAUUAUUCCGGGAUAAAAGAGCUGAAGCCUUGUACUUGCUCUCCUUCCUCCCGGCCUGUUUUUUUUUUCUUUUUUUUUAAAAAACCCUCCUCCCUUACAUUUCCACUUUAAUUGCGAUGCAGAGAGGGACCUUCCAUCCCGGUUGAGCUAGGCUGGCCUAUAUUUUAAAGGAACGCAAGCCAGCCUUCCGAUCAUUUUCAGGCGGCUGAGCACAGUUUGGGCCGGGGGUGGGUGGGUUUGCAUAUCCUGGUGGAUCUCAAAUCCGAUCAGCAGAGAGGGCUAAGGAAGGGUGGAGGAAGCAUUUUAACGGGGAUCAGAUAUAGGAUUUAUAGACGCUUGGAAUAAAAUACGCGUUGAUUCAAUUCAUUUCUUUAAUGGCCCGACUUUGAAAGCCCCCCCCCUCUUCCAAGCCCCCCUAACAGCAAUUAAGUACAAGCGGCUGAUCGUUAAGCAGCCAAAAGAGAAAUGUAGAGGAAGCCAGAGAAAAGCUCUAUGUUGUACAUCGCCGACGUAGCUUCCCAGGUUCUUGUCGUACAACGCCGCCAGGCAGAAUACAGUAUCCGCAUUUAAAGCCUCCAGCCCCCGAAACAGAUUGUAGCGGCAAGCAAUCUGCCUGCACGAACGCAAUUUUUUUUUCUUUUUAAAUGUGUACCACGCAGGAAACUCGUUCGCUUCUCCGCUCCGGUUACAGCUGAGUUUGCUGCAAAAAAACGCGAGUACGAAACGCCCCUCUAUUGCAAGUUUUGGCUCGGUCAGAAGACGUUUUCGAGGGACCAGGUGUGCACAUGCCAGGUCACAGAAUAAGCUACAGUGAUUUUGACAAAGAGACUGAAGAUUUUCAGCAAGUCUGAAAAAUCCCCAUUGCCUCAAUUCUGAUUCAGACAGAGGCGAGAUUCAGAUACUGGAGGAAUUUGGAAAAUACUAUGAGUAUCUGAUGUUUGAUUGAAUCAGGAAGAGGCAAAAGGAAAAAAAGGAUGCAUGCGGGUGUAUGGGGGAACAGCCUGAAGGAACCAUUUGCAACUGGAAGGGCCAAAAGAAGCAUUUGGACAAUUGCAUCUCAUCUCACCAUGACAAAACAAUGCAAUCUUUAAGAUCUUGAUAUUACAACAGUUGAUUUAAAAACCUUCAACUGGUCCAGAAUACAGCAGCCCACAUGCUUGUGGGUGAAAGCCAUUGGUGAUGUGGGGAUCUGCUUGAAUUUAUAGACUUCUGAGUAACAAUGCAAAAGCCACAGUACAAAUGUACCAGCCACAGAGAGCCUAUAAAAGUUAUCCAUGGCUUAGUGCCCAUCACCUUGAAGUAGUCCUAUUUGUACAGUGCACCCAUCCUGAGUAGUGAUAUUGAGGAUUCUUUCCUCUCAAGCAAUGUAGGAGAGAGAAUGUUAUAUUUUAGUGGGGAAAUCUAGAGCACAUAUCAUUUUGCCUUUUAGAAAUGUAUUAAAACAGCUGUUCAGAAGGUCCUUUAAUUAAGGUGUAAUUAUCCAGAAGCCUAACAUUUUAAUAAGAUGGAGCUUUCAUAGUUUAAUAUAUUCAUUAUGUUCUGUUGCACUAUUUUGAUGUUAUAGUUUUUAAUAACUUGUGUCUACGGGUCCUUUUGAAUGACGUAGUAUUAAAGUGCCGCAAAUAAAUAAAUACUGAAUCCA